UUUCCUGAGGAUGGUCGGCAGGGCCCGGCCGAAACGUCGAUUUUGUAUAUUCACGUUUUUCAACUAUUAAAUUCUUCUUCUUCCUGACCGGAACUUCGACGAACCUUUCAUUUUCAAUCUACCUCCCGGUCACAAACUUCUUUCCUAAACACAAUGCAUCGAAACGGCUUCGUGGACGUCUCGUACCACCGUCAUCCUACGUCAUACCGAACUUCAAAUCACUCACAAACCAAGAAGAUCUGGAACUACCGGCAAAAACUAGCACGCAUCAAAAACCAUUUUAUUUCCUGAGGAUGGUCGGCAGGGCCCGGCCGAAACGUCGAUUUUGUAUAUUCACGUUUUUCAACUAUUAAAUUCUUCUUCUUCCUGACCGGAACUUCGACGAACCUUUCAUUUUCAAUCUACCUCCCGGUCACAAACUUCUUUCCUAAA